UGGCUCAGCAGUUAAGAGCACUGGCUGCUUCCCCAGAGGACCUGGGUUCAAUUCCCAG
rfam:Mus musculus chromosome 1, GRC primary reference assembly.